rnacentral:pre_miRNA from 1 species
AAAGUACUCCCUCCGUCCCAAAAUUCUUGUCUUAGAUUUGUCUAGAUAUGGAUGUAUCAAGUCACAUUUUAGUAUUAGAUACAUCCAUAUCUAGACAAAUCUAAGACAACAAAUUUGGGACAGAGGGAGUAGUUG